AUUUUUGGCGGCUCGGGCGGGGAGCCUCACGGCUCGCCGGUUCUCGCAGGAGCUUCCCGGUACGCCAACCCGUUCGAGCUGCCGCCCCC
rnacentral:antisense_RNA from 2 species